rnacentral:lncRNA from 1 species
UAAUAUUAUCCCUCCUUUGUAGUGAAAAAGAGGAGGAUCAAGUAGGAAAUGUCCCUUAUAAUAUUAUUACUAAUGUAGCUUAGUUUUGAAAAAUAGCCUUUGCUUGAAAAUUAUGUUUCAGUUUCAAAUAAAAGUUAAUUUAUUCAUAUAACUUGUUAAGAACUAUAAAAUUUUUCUCAAGAGUGAGUGGAUGAUAUAGUUAAAAAUAGUGUAGUGAAUUUUACAUUCUUUUCAAAUCGUUAUGAAACGCAAAAGAAGAUGACCGUUACCUAUUCAAGAUGGGGAGGUAAUAUUCAUUAAUACCGUUAUGUAUAGGAAUGUGUGCAUUUAUUAUUUAAUACUAUUGUUUUAUCUAAUAAACUUAUUAGAUGCGGCAUAUUCAAUAUUCUAGAAUGCACCACACAAUUUAGAUAUAAAUGUAUGAGCACCGGUGCACGUGCAAGUGGUAAAUCGCUCAUAGAAUUAAUAGUUGAUGGAUAGGCCAAUCAUACAAUAAUUAAUCUAAUUUAUCUCAAGUUAAGUGAUACAAGUAACCUAGCUAACAAUAAUUGAUCUCAUACAACUGUUACCUAGCCUACUUGUAUCACAUAUCAAUCAACAGUUUGAUAAGGAACAUAAAUAUUUUUGUGGUACUUGCUGCUAGCCUGUAUGGAUUAAUACUUUAUUGCUGCUGUAUGGAUUUUUUUUUUGAGAGCCAAAGGAAACUUUCAUAAAAAUUACGGAUAGUUCACAUCAGGAGGAAGCUUCCUGGACCCUAGCAGAGAAAAAAGGCAAAGCANUACAUAAACUUAUUAGAUGCGGCAUAUUCAAUAUUCUAGAAUGCACCACACAAUUUAGAGAUAAAUGUAUGAGCACCGGUGCACGUGCAAGUGGUAAAUCGCUCAUAGAAUUAAUAGUUGAUGGAUAGGCCAAUCAUACAAUAAUUAAUCUAAUUUAUCUCAAGUUAAGUGAUACAAGUAGCCUAGCUAACAAUAAUUGAUCUCAUACAACUGUUACCUAGCCUACUAGUAUCACAUAUGACAUAUCCAUCAACAGUUUGAUAAGGAACAUAAAUAUUUUUGUGGUACUUGCUGCUAGCCUGUAUGGAUUAAUACUUUAUUGCUGCUGUAUGGAUUAAUGAUGUGAAGAAACUAGAUGUUUUCUAUGAUAGGUACAAUAAAAAAAAUAUAGGAAAGUAAUAAAUGUCUACAAAAAUACCACACACACAACAUCUUGUAUAAUUUGAAAUGCAUUUUACUGUACUCUAUUUCCGUAUUAUGUAUAUAUAUUAUGACGUAUAUUUAAUAAAUAUACACUUAUUAUAUAUAUAUUUAAUAAUAUUGAAACAAGAUACGCAAUGGAAUCCAAACAUUAUUGAAACAAACUAACAAGCUCGAAGCGGCUUCCCACAG